UACGGGGGGGGCAAGCGUUGUUCGGAUUUACUGGGCGUAAAGCGCCCGCAGGCGGCUGAUUAAGUCAGCUGUGAAAGCUCCCGGCUCAACUGGGAAGGGUCGGCUGAAACUGGUCGUCUGGAGGGCAACAGAGGAGUGUAGAAUUGCGGGUGUAGUGGUGAAAUGCGUAGAUAUCCGCAGGAAUACCAGUGGCGAAGGCGGCGCUCUGGGUUGUACCUGACGCUGAUGUGCGAAAGCUAGGGGAGCGAACAGG
rnacentral:rRNA from 1 species